GACGAACGCUGGCGGCGUGCUUAACACAUGCCAGUCGAACGAUGAAGCCUAGCUUGCUGGGUGGAUUAGUGGCGAACGGGUGAGUAAUACGUGAGUAACCUACCUUUAACUCUGGGAUAAGCCUGGGAAACUGGGUCUAAUACCGGAUACGACCAAUCUCCGCAUGGGGUGUUGGUGGAAAGCGUUAUGUAGUGGUUAUAGAUGGGCUCACGGCCUAUCAGCUUGUUGGUGGGGUAACGGCUCACCAAGGCGACGACGGGUAGCCGGCCUGAGAGGGUGACCGGCCACACUGGGACUGAGAUACGGCCCAGACUCCUACGGGAGGCAGCAGUGGGGAAUAUUGCACAAUGGGCGCAAGCCUGAUGCAGCGACGCCGCGUGAGGGAUGACGGCCUUCGGGUUGUAAACCUCUGUUAGCAGGGAAGAAGAGAAAUUGACGGUACCUGCAGAGAAAGCGCCGGCUAACUACGUG
rnacentral:rRNA from 1 species